UCCUGGUUUCCCAGGCAGUCUCGCCAAAGUGCCCCAAAAUGGGUAGCAACUGGCGACAGGAGUUGCGCUCGUUAAAGGACUUAACCUAACAUCUCACGACACGAGCUGACGACAGCCAUGCAGCACCUGUGCACAUGCUCAAGGUUUCCCCUGAGAAAUCAUGUUUCCACAACAGUCAUAUGCAUGUCAAGCCCAGGUAAGGUUUCUCGCGUAGUGUCGAAUUAAACCACAUGUUCCACCGCUUGUGCGGGCCCCCGUCAAUUUCUUUGAGUUUUAAUCUUGCGACCGUACUCUUCAGGUGGAUCACUUAACGCGUUAGCUGCGACACCCAGGCACAAGGCCCAGACGUCUAGUGAUCAUCGUUUACUGCGUGGACUAC
rnacentral:misc_RNA from 1 species